GCACUUUAAGUUGGGAGGAAGGGCAGUUACCUAAUACGUGAUUGUUUUGACGUUACCGACAGAAUAAGCACCGGCUAACUCUGUGCCAGCAGCCGCGGUAAUACAGAGGGUGCAAGCGUUAAUCGGAAUUACUGGGCGUAAAGCGCGCGUAGGUGGUUUGUUAAGUUGGAUGUGAAAUCCCCGGGCUCAACCUGGGAACUGCAUUCAAAACUGACUGACUAGAGUAUGGUAGAGGGUGGUGGAAUUUCCUGUGUAGCGGUGAAAUGCGUAGAUAUAGGAAGGAACACCAGUGGCGAAGGCGACCACCUGGACUGAUACUGACACUGAGGUGCG
rnacentral:rRNA from 1 species